UUCUGGGUGAAACGCCUGUCUAAGUUCCUUGGAACAGGACGUCAUAGAGGGUGAGAAUCCCGUAUGUGACUGGAAAUGUUAACCUAUGUAAAGCUCCUUCGACGAGUCGAGUUGUUUGGGAAUGCAGCUCUAAAUGGGAGGUAAAUUUCUUCUAAAGCUAAAUAUUGGCGAGAGACCGAUAGCGCACAAGUAGAGUGAUCGAAAGAUGAAAAGCACUUUGGAAAGAGAGUUAAAAAGCACGUGAAAUUGUUGAAAGGGAAGCGCUUGCAAUCAGACUUGUUUAAACUGUUCGGCCGGUCUUCUGACCGGUUUACUCAGUUUGGACAGGCCAGCAUCAGUUUCGGCGGCCGGAUAAAGGCUCUGGGAAUGUGGCCUUCACUUCGGUGAAGGUGUUAUAGCCCAGGGUGUAAUACGGCCAGCCGGGACUGAGGUCCGCGCUUCGGCUAGGAUGCUGGCGUAAUGGUUGUAAGCGACC
rnacentral:rRNA from 1 species